AUAACUUGUAUGUCUGCGUUUUACUCCAUUUCCUCUGCGUUUAAUGCACAGCAUAUUGUGCUGUGUUUUUAUAGAAAUCAGAGGAUUCGUUCCGUUCAACACACCCAUCAAGGAAUUAAUCCCAGCCCAAAUAAAUUACCCUUUCUCUCUAAAAUUCUUUUUCGAUUUGAAUUCCCCCAAAUUAGAAUUCCCGUUAGAAAAAAGCAUCACUCCCAUUAACCGCCUCACUGUCUAGUCUCGAUUUCUCCGGCUGCGACAACGCCUCCGAUUCCGGCUGCUCAUCGUGGCUCCAGGCGCCGCCGACGUCGAAGCAAUCUCCGGUUUAGUUCCCAGCGGCGCGUUACUGAGUAGUAGUGUUGGGGGCGAAGUUGUAGUUUGUGAUAAUGCGUGCAAAUUAAGCAACAAAAAAUGGGUGUAGGUGAUUAGGUGUAUUAUGGAGUUUUAAUUUGUUAAAUUUCUUGGCGGUAUUGUCCUUUUCCCUUGUUUAUUUGUAUUUUCCUGCUAUUUUGUGUUCCUUUUUGGAAUUUCACUGUCUUUGUUGCAUGUCAGUGUUUAUUUAAAUCGACGAGGCGGGAUACACCGUAGACCUCCUCACGGACUCACCGUCUGAUUUCGGUGCCGCCGAUUCUCUCCGAGCGGCUCUCCAGAAUCCACCAAGCAGUCGUUGCAGCGGUGGACUGCCGUGGACUUCUCGGCCUAACUAAUUGUGUGAUGCUGGAACUGUAGUUUGUUGGGAACUCUGCAGAGGUUAAAUCUUCAAUUUCUUGGCUUGUUGUAUUAGGGAUGUACUCGUAGAAAUUAAUAGGGUUGUUCUAAAAGUUGAUGUUUAUGUUACAGAUAUUGUUAUUGGUAUUUAUACUUCGGAAUGCACAUGUUGGAAUUACACGAUUAUUGCAGGUUGACAUGGAAAAAUAUGCAAGGAAUCUUCCUCUUCACCUUAUUGCAGUGAUUAUGGAUUGGGAAAUGGACAAAUCCACAUUCAAGUAUUUGCUAUGUGGAAUUCUUCUCUUGCAUUCCAUGUUUCAUCUUGCCUCUCGGGUGCCCAAAAUUGAACAGCUUAUCGGAAGUCAAACUGUAUUAUCUAUCAUCGUAUCAAGCAGACGACACCGGUCUAAUUUUUAUAUUGCUUGAUGAUGUGAAGAUAUCAGAACAACUGAUUGACCUGGUCUUCUAUCUGCUAGUUCUACUUGGUCCAUACAGACAUCUUGUAUUAUAAAAUUGUUUCUCCACACUACCAAGAGGUUGCUUAAGCAUUGACUGCAUAUUACAAGGUAGCAAUCCAGGAUUUGGUGAAAACUAAGAACAUUAAAUUACUUGUUUAAUGGUGGACAUAUUCAUAGAGGCAGAAUUUGCUGCUGUUUGUGUAGAUGUCAAGUUUCUGCAGACCAACGAUUCAUUUGGAAGUGCUUUCCCUACCACUGAAGAGACCUUGAAUCACAUCUGCCAGAGUGUGAUUCUUCUCUUCAAUUUCUACAGUCCUUGUGUCAGCAAAAGUUGUUCCGGGAAUGCAUUGUGAAUAACAAGAUUUUAUCCUUUCAUCUGAUUAGAGUUUUCACUGCCUGAAAGCAUUGACAUUUCUUUAAAAUGUCAAAUGUGGUGAAUACAUGUUUCUGCUCCAGGGAACUUGAGCUGGAAUUUCUAUUUUGCAUACAUGUUUCUGCUCCAGGGACUUCAUUUAUUUCUGUCCAAGUGAGAUAGUAAGAGAUUCCAUAAUCAGCUUGAUUUGCUUAUGUGGCUGCAGCUUUAUCUGAUGUAUGUUGAUCUGUUGCACCUUUGUGAAGCUGAAAGUGUAUCCUACCUGGAAGAGGUGGCCAGCAAAACAUCAACUCAGGAUGUGGCAAAGUCUGUUGGACUCAAGGUUCUUGCGUUGCUAAAAAAAUGUUUAAUGCUCCCUCUGAGGCAAGCUACCCGAAGGGGCAACUGGAACUUAAUGCAAUGCGCUUGGCAGAUGUCUUGUCAGAUGAUUCAAAUUUUCUGUCAUUCAUCAUGAUAAACUUUAUGAGAAGGAUCUGUCAACAAGUUCGUUCGGUUCAUAUGGAAGGACUAUCAGAAACUGUCAGAUGGAUUCUUCUCUCUACUUCAAAGCUGACAAAGUAUCCACAAUUAGCAAGAACUUAUGUAUUCCUGCUUCUAAUACACUAUUGCAUGUAGUAGUACAUAUCUAUAUUCUAAUACACCAUUGCAUGUAGGUUCAUUAUUAAGUCAUGAUUUUUGAAUGAAGAUGAUGUACAACUGCUGAGGUAAUUUCAAUGUAUGCUUUCCUUCCAUGCUGA